rnacentral:rRNA from 1 species
GACGAACGCUGGCGGCGUGCUUAACACAUGCAAGUCGAACGGAAAGGCCUGCUUUCCCUUGUGGAUUGCGGGUACUCGAGUGGCGAACGGGUGAGUAACACGUGAGUGAUCUGCCCCCAACUUGGGUAUAAGCCUGGGAAACUGGGUCUAAUUCCCGAUAGGACUGCAGGGUGGUGCCUGUGGUGGAAAACGAUUUUCUAGUGGUUGGGGAUGAGCUCGCGGCCUAUCAGCUUGUUGGUGGGGUAAUGGCCUACCAAGGCGGCGACGGGUAGCCGGCCUGAGAGGGUGGACGGCCACAUUGGGACUGAGAUACGGCCCAGACUCCUACGGGAGGCAGCAGUGGGGAAUAUUGCACAAUGGGCGGAAGCCUGAUGCAGCGACGCCGCGUGGGGGAUGACGGCCUUCGGGUUGUAAACCCCUUUCGACCGCGAGGAAGCCACCUGGUUGGAAGGGUGGUGACGGUAGUGGUAGAAGAAGCACCGGCUAACUACGUG